AUGAGAACUGAAGCCUUCCAAACUGCUACCAUCUAUCGCCAUCUCCUCAAGGCACUUGCUCGUGAUUACACUUACCUUCUUAACAACGUGCACUAUCACAAGGAGUUGCUUUUCUCAUAUAACAUCGCAGUGGAUAGAUCAGAUGAGGUUAAAAGAACACUUGGAAAAUCUGCUGCUAGUGUCGGUCUUCAGCUUCCUGAGGUUUAUCGAUCAUAA